UGGGGAAUAUUGGACAAUGGGCGAAAGCCUGACGCAGCCAUGCCGCGUGAAUGAUGAAGGUCUUAGGAUUGUAAAAUUCUUUCACCGGGGACGAUAAUGACGGUACCCGGAGAAGAAGCCCCGGCUAACUUCGUGCCAGCAGCCGCGGUAAUACGAAGGGGGCUAGCGUUGCUCGGAAUUACUGGGCGUAAAGGGAGCGUAGGCGGACAUUUAAGUCAGGGGUGAAAUCCCGGGGCUCAACCUCGGAAUUGCCUUUGAUACUGGGUGUCUUGAGUAUGAGAGAGGUGUGUGGAACUCCGAGUGUAGAGGUGAAAUUCGUAGAUAUUCGGAAGAACACCAGUGGCGAAGGCGACACACUGGCUCAUUACUGACGCUGAGGCUCGAAAGCGUGGGGAGCAAACAGGAUUAGAUACCCUCGUAGUCCCUGAGCGGGCUGGCAAGGCGCAU
rnacentral:rRNA from 1 species